rnacentral:rRNA from 1 species
UACGAGGGGGGCAAGCGUUUGUUCGGAAUUAUUGGGCGUAAAGGGUGCGUAGGCGGUUUGAUAAGUCAUCUGUGAAAUCUCUGGGCUCAACCCAGAGUCUGCAGGCGAAACUGUCGGGCUUGAGUAUGGGGAGAGGUGAGUGGAACUGCGAGUGUAGAGGUGAAAUUCGUAGAUAUUCGCAAGAACACCAGUGGCGAAGGCGGCUCACUGGCUCGGUACUGACGCUGAGGUGCGAAAGCGUGGGGAGCAAACAGG